UGAUAGCUCAGUCGGUAGAGCAAAGGACUGAAAAUCCUUGUGUCGGUGGUUCGAUUCCACCUUA
rnacentral:tRNA from 3 species